CCAGACAGUAGAGGUAAUCAAGAAGGCUAUAGAGGUAGCUCUGUGCCUUUAGGGGAGUGGGAGAUGUUGAUUAUUCUGGAAGGAAAAGCUGAAAUGACUGAAAAUAUUUUAUUUAUUUGUGAGUUGAAACUUGAAACGUUGUCGUUUGCUCCACAGCUCGACGUUUUCUUUCGUCCUAGAACUAGAGGAAGCUCCAUUGUUUUUCUUUCUUUCUAGCAGCAUCUUCUUAACAGACGAUGGAGGAGCUCGGAUGCUUGCUUGCAUGCUGCAAAUAUUGGGGGCUGAGCACACUUGCUUUCUGAUUUUGCAUCGCGGGAAGCUUUCUAGAGUCCCACACCGGUUAAUCCUGCGAUAUUAUAAAUGUUUAUAACCAGAUACGCAGCAAGUAGGUUUGUCCCUUCGGGGACAUCCGAUAAAAUUGGAACGAUACAGAGAAGAUUAGCAUGGCCCCUGCGCAAGGAUGACACGCACAAAUCGAGAAAUGGUCCAAAUUUUUUUGAUUUUCGAUUUCUCUGCGACGAAGCUCAACUGUGUUCUUCAGCCUAUCACAUAUGGAGCAAUUCGUGUAGACAGUCUCAUUGGAUCUGUAUUACUUUAGCUCUAUCUCCACGUCCAAGGCUUAGCCUGAGCUUUUCAUGACUAAGCUGGAGGAAGCUGGUUUCUUUGUGUUGCUUUAGCUUUGAACGCGAUGUCUCACUUCCUAUGGUGUCCCACAUCGGUCGAGCUUAAAACAAUAUUAGUGAAUAUAAGCUGAUGCGGCAACACUUGGGCUUCUUCCUUUGUUGACAAAAUUAGAAGGAUGCAGAGCAUCCUACUAACACGUGAUGGAGAAGUUUGGGAUUGGAUGCUUGCAUGCUGCUAAUGUUGGGGCUGAGCAGACUAGUGUUAUUUUGGUCUGUUUUAGCAUUGCAGGGUCGUAUGUCCCACACGGUUCAGUGGUCAUGAUAAAAGUUACAUUUCUCAUGUGGUAAUGUGAGUGUAAGCAACUACUAGUAAUUUGUAAUUGUUGUUUUAACUUCAGUGUAUGAGAUUGUGCUUUGCUUGCUUGAUGUUUUAUUAUGCUUACCACUUAAUUAGCCUUUCCAUUUGUUGUUUUGUGCUCACCAGUUAACUUUUCUACAUGGUUUGGAUCUAUGAUUAUUGUCACAUUCUGAAUUCUGAUACAAACCGGGUGAGAUAACUUUAACUCCUUGUCCAGAGCAUAGCCAGAGUUUUUCUUGUGUAAGCUGUAAUUUCGUUUAACAUCAAUUAAACUACACAUUUUUUUAAACUGAUUUAAAAGGUAUCAUUAGAAUAUUAAUCUUUAUAACUUUUGUUGCUUUGCUUUGAGGGGGGAAAUUGGUCUUUUUUGGUGUUUGUAAUUGAUAAACGAUGCCUCUUGCUUUGCAUCCAGGUGUCUGAGUCUCGCUGCCAAUGGUGUCCCACACCGACUAAGCUUAAAACAUUAUGAGUGCUUAUAAAGAAAUGCUCAACAACUCUAAUUUAAUCUUGAAUGACGCACAAAUUGAGAAAUGAAGAACCAUUAGGCAAUGAGGCCAUUACAUCCCUAGAAAGCAACUCAGCAAUGCCACAGGCCCCACGGCCCACGAGGAUCCUCCUCCACCCGGAUGGUAUUGGAAAAGGGAUGAGCCCUCUUAGCAAGGUCAAAGUGGUUUGCAAAUGUAUUUAAAUUUAAAGUUGAAGCUGCAGAAUACUAGUAAAUUUUUUUUUCUCAUUUCUCAUUCAAAAUUGAUAACUUUUUCUUUCUUCCACAAGAAUUCUAUGAAAUUUCCAGUUCUUCUGUAUCAUUUUUUUUCUAGACUUUUCAUGUGUUCAGUUUAGUAUCUUAGAUAGAAUAUCAUUAUGGGUUACAUCUCACAAGUGGUCAGUGUUAUGGAAAGAGUAGAUAAUUACAGUAAGUUGUGUUAGUUGUUUAGUUUAAGGGAGUGGUGAAGGAAUUAUAGUGACAGGAGGGGAUGUAAUAUUUGACUGCUGAAGGAAGUGUAUCCAAAAUAAAUGUGCCCAGACGAGACUAAGUCCAACCAAUCAUCCAAUCAAGUGUUGAAGUCAAGAACGGUGAAUGCUAGAUGCGGUGCACUUUGGCUCUACAACUCUUUGCGAUGGAGGUGAAAGGCUGAAGUCUUCCCGCAGGAGGUACCUAUGAGAACACUCUGACACCCAAGUCAGCCAGGGAAGUAAGGACAAAAAUGACGAAUGCUCAAUGCAGAUCCGCAACAAAUUGCCGGUGUCAGAUGUCUGCCACAAAAUGGUGUACACGAAUCAUAACUCAAUGGGAAAUUUGUAUUUUGAUUGAUGGUGUGAUUUUGUGUUUGUACAAAUAACUCUUUUCCUACCCCCACUACUAAUUGUCGGGUGUUUGUGCCUCUCACUCCUAGUCAUAUUGAAAGACUGACUUUCCUUAUAUCUGGUGGUCCUUAGCAUGUAACAACUAUUACAAAAUUUAAGGGAAGGAACCAUAUCAA